GCACCGGUGGUGUAUGGUACACGCAGUCACCUUCUAACAACUCCUUUUAUUAGCAGUGAUUGAAUCUGGGGUUCGAUUCCCCGCUGGUGCA